rnacentral:rRNA from 1 species
AACGAACGCUGGCGGCAUGCCUAACACAUGCAAGUCGAACGAGACCUUCGGGUCUAGUGGCGCACGGGUGCGUAACGCGUGGGAACCUGCCCUUAGGUUCGGAAUAACUCCCCGAAAGGGGUGCUAAUACCGGAUAAUGUCUUCGGACCAAAGAUUUAUCGCCUUUGGAUGGGCCCGCGUUGGAUUAGCUAGUUGGUAGGGUAAAAGCCUACCAAGGCGACGAUCCAUAGCUGGUCUGAGAGGAUGAUCAGCCACACUGGGACUGAGACACGGCCCAGACUCCUACGGGAGGAAGCAGUGGGGAAUAUUGGACAAUGGGCGAAAGCCUGAUCCAGCAAUGCCGCGUGAGUGAUGAAGGCCUUAGGGUUGUAAAGCUCUUUUACCCGGGAUGAUAAUGACAGUACCGGGAGAAUAAGCUCCGGCUAACUCCG